UACAGAGGGUGCAAACGUUGCUCGGAAUCAUUGGGCGUAAAGCGCACGUAGGCGGCCUAGCAAGUAGGGAGUGAAAGCCCUCGGCUUAACCGAGGAAGUGCUUUCUAAACUACUAGGCUUGAAUACUGGAGAGGGUCGCGGAAUUCCCGGUGUAGAGGUGAAAUUCGUAGAUAUCGGGAGGAACACCAGUGGCGAAGGCGGCGACCUGGGCCAAUACUGACGCUGAGGUGCGAAAGCGUGGGGAGCAAACAGG
rnacentral:rRNA from 1 species